CAGCGCGGGUAGCAAUACCUGGCGGCGACCGGCAAACGGGUGCGGAACACGUACGCAACCUUCCUUUAAGCGGGGAAUAGACCAGGGAAACUUGGAUUAAUACCCCAUGUGGUUUUUGGGUGGCAUCACCUGACAAUCAAAGCUCCGGCACUUAAAGAUGGGCGUGCGGCUGAUUAGGUAGUUGGCGGGGUAACGGCCCACCAAGCCUACGAUCAGUAACUGGUGUGAGAGCACGACCAGUCACACGGGCACUGAGACACGGGCCCGACUCCUACGGGAGGCAGCAGUAAGGAAUAUUGGUCAAUGGACGCAAGUCUGAACCAGCCAUGCCGCGUGGAGGACGAAGGCCCUCUGGGUUGUAAACUUCUUUUAUUGGGGAAGAAACCUGUUCUUUCUAGAGCAGUUGACGGUACCCGAUGAAUAAGCACCGGCUAACUCCGUGCCAGCAGCCGCGGUAAUACGGAGGGUGCAAGCGUUAUCCGGAUUCACUGGGUUUAAAGGGUGCGUAGGUGGGCAGGUAAGUCAGUGGUGAAAUCUCCGGGCUUAACCCGGAAACUGCCGUUGAUACUAUCUGUCUUGAAUAUAGUGGAGGUGAGCGGAAUAUGUCAUGUAGCGGUGAAAUGCUUAGAUAUGACAUAGAACACCCAUUGCGAAGGCAGCUCGCUACACUAUCAUUGACACUGAGGCACGAAAGCGUGGGGAUCAAACAGGAUUAGAUACCCUGGUAGUCCACGCCCUA
rnacentral:rRNA from 1 species